CCGGACCGGCGCACGGGUGAGUAACGCGUAUGCAACUUACCUAUCAGAGGGGGAGAACCCGGCGAAAGUCGGACUAAUACCGCAUGAAGCAGGGGCCCCGCAUGGGGAUAUUUGCUAAAGAUUCAUCGCUGAUAGAUAGGCAUGCGUUCCAUUAGGCAGUUGGCGGGGUAACGGCCCACCAAACCGACGAUGGAUAGGGGUUCUGAGAGGAAGGUCCCCCACAUUGGUACUGAGACACGGACCAA
rnacentral:rRNA from 1 species